CGAGCCGGGAAGGGCCUGGGGCCCGGCGGGCUGCACCCCGCGCCUGGGCCCCCGGCUCCCUACCUCCCCUGGGGCGCGCGCCUUCUCGAACGCGCGGUGGAGACGCCAAAACGGACAAGGGCUGCUUUUUCCCUCCUCCCCCCACCUCACUUUAAAACAAAGCCGCGAUUCAUUCCCUCUCCCCGAACAGCGCGGUUGGGUGGGAUGGGCAGGCGAGAAGGCCGUUUUCCUAGCCCCGGUCUGCGGGUUCCUCCCUGAAACGCGGUGUCAGAUGGUUACUGAUUAAUAUUUUGGAGAGGCCGCGGCGGCGGGCAGCGGGAUAUGGCCAGCCUCACAUCUGCAGCAAGAAAGAAGCAAUUCCCCAGCAGUUUAUCAGGAGAGAUGAUAAUGUGGGACAGAAAACAGACUGCAGUGGUUAAGAAUCCGCCUUCCAGUGCAGGGGAUGCGGGUUCGAUCCCUGGUCGGAGAACCAAGAUCCCCCGUGCCGAGGGGCCGCUGAGCCCACGUGCUGCCACUGCUGCACCCGCACGCUCUGCAGCCAGCAUGCCACAACUAGAGAGAAGCCCACGUGCCGCAGCGAAGAGCCUGUGCACCACAACAAAAGAUCCCGAAUGCCGCAACUAAGACCCGAUGCAGCCAAAAAUAAAAGUAUUUUUUUAAAUGAUUGAAAAAAAAAAAAAAUAACACACCCUGUUCUGGUUGUGUUUCUUGGCCAACGUCUCUCCCCUACCUAACUUGGGUCGCCCC